GGGAUGGACCGCCUCGGCGGAAAGUCAAAACUGAGUGAUUCUAUGCUUCCGAGAAAAGCUGCGGGCCGAGCAUUCCGGCUGUCCGUACCGCAAACCGACUCAGGUGGGCGGGAAGAGUAUUCCAAGGCGUUUGAGAGAACCGUGGUUAAGGAACUAGGCAAAUUGACACCGUAACUUCGGGAUAAGGUGUGCCUCCGAGGUAGAGCUGAACAGGCCGAGCCAGAAGAGGUCGCAGAGAAUUGGGGGUAGCGACUGUUUACCAAAAACACAGGACUGUGCGAAGUCACGAAGACGACGUAUACGGUCUGACGCCUGCCCGGUGCUGGAAGGUUAAGAGGAGAGGUUAGAGCAAUCGAAGCUUUGAAUCGAAGCCCCAGUAAACGGCGGCCGUAACAAUAACGGUCCUAAGGUAGCGAAAUUCCUUGUCGGGUAAGUUCCGACCUGCACGAAUGGCGUAACGACUUCCCCGCUGUCUCAACCAUGGACUCAGUGG
rnacentral:rRNA from 1 species